AUCUAACAGUACUUUGGCUCGAAGUGGAGUGACGCCUUUGCCCUCGCUUUUCUCCUACAAUUUCACCUUCGUAUUGGUGUCUGAAAUGAUGUCAGCCGGGCAUAUGCGUCUUUAGGCAGUAGAAGACGCCCCAUUCUUCCGUGAUCUUCUCAUUCGAUUGCUGCCAGAACAAUCCAGAGAUCAAUUAUCAAGAACGAUUGAGAGAGAGAGAGAGAGAGAGAGAGAGAGAGAGAGAGAAAUAGGGUUUGUUUCUUUGCUUUGCACGAAGAGAUGGAGAGAUCCAAGGGAAAUUCUCACCUCAUCAUCUCAGCACGAGGUCGAUUACUCUUUAUCACGAGAGUGAUUGUAAAGGUUUUUAUUUGGUGGUUUGUAACAAAUCUCUUCUUAGCUUUCAUCACCAACCAUAAAAACUUGGGUUCGUCAUCAGCAAGACUGCUUCGCCUGAAGAUUAGAAGAAAGCCACCAUUAAGGACCAUCAGGAUAAGGGCGGAGCUCCACGAAGAGAAUUGGCGUUUGAUCAUCUCGGCACGAGGUAAUUCAGCUUCCUCGAAGAGAUACAAAGCUCAAGCUUUCUGGACAUGACGACUUUCUUCAUUUUAAGAGAAUUAAGGUUGGGUACCUGCAUAUGAGGAUUCUUGGCAACAUCAGCUCCUCAAAUUUGUUAGAUCAUGCCAAGCGAUUUGUAUAAUCUCAAGUCCAGGACAUAAGUAGCAGAACCUGUACAAGGUUUAGGAUGGUAGCGUUGGCAGGCAUUCAUUGAUUGUAGGGUUUGAUAUAUACAGAAAGUUUAUGUUGCAUUUCAUGAUGAAUGCUGGGGAGUUCCAGUAUGUGAUGACAAUCAAUUGUUUGAGCUGCGUGCUCUGUCUGGGAUGUUGAUGGACCACAAUUGGACUGAAAUUGGGAAAAGAAGGGAGAUGCUCAGGGAAGCCUUUUCGGCAUUUGAUCCAAACACAGUUGCCAAAUGGGGGAGGAAGAGAUUGAAGUGAUAAACUGCUGUUAUAGGAGUUAGUGGAAAAGUUGUGGACAGUGGUCUGAAUGAUCAUAUCUUCAUAUACUGUUCCAAUCAUGGUGGUCUGGAGUACUGGGUGAGUAGCUUUUCAGUAGCAACUUACACAAAAUGAUUUGUCCUGCUUUGGUUAUUGUGUAGGGGUCAAAUUGGUUGAUUGUUUAUGCCUAUUUGAGUUGAGCUAAUAGUAGCAACUUACACAAAAUGAUUUGCUGCAUUCCUGGUGAAUGAAAGUAGUUUGGGUUUAAGUUUCGAUUUGAAUAGAAAUGAGAGUGAUGAUGGUUUUGCUAUCAAAAUUGAUUAAAUCAGAAGAGGGUAGUUCCCAGUAGUAGAGGUUGUUGAACUCUUUUUCUCAAUGACUGAUCUGGUUUUGUUUAUAUCCGCUUUCUGGAAUUGUUAUUACUGUGGUACAGCACAAAAGAAAUUCAAAUUUAAGCUUAAUCAGAUGCUGUAUUGAUAUGAUGCUUUUGCCCUCAUUUGAGAUUUUUUUGCGGUUCUGCCACUGAGCUAUACUAGGGGCUUCCAUCAGUUUCUUCUUUCUUUUACGGCCUUCUAUUGGUUUCUCUCUUCCUCCCUUCUGCCCUGGUUUAUUAAGCUAUCGCCAUCACUCAGUAUGACAUCGAAGAAGUACAGCAACACUUGCAACCACAGAUUUUCGCAGCAGAAGAUAGUUUCUUUGUACGAGAGGUUCUGUCAGCUCAAUCGCAGUGGCGGAGGUUUCAUCUUUGCCGACGAGUUUUUUGUCCGUACCGGAAUUCACAGUCAAUCCUCUCUCAGUUUUGCAUUUCUCAGUUUUGGCUGGUUGGACGUAGAUACUGGGGGAGAUAUGGAGCAAGACCACACUUGCUCUUAGGAGAUGCUUCUGUAUCAACACCCAAUUUCCUUUUCUCAUCAGAGAGAUUUGAUCAAACAACAAAGCUACUUAGUUUUGGGGUGAAUUCAGGAAAUAGGCUAAUACGUCAAGAAUAAGCUAAUGGGUUCCAUCAUUCUUUUUGUGCAGAAAGAUAUUCAAGGGAGGAUUGACAAAGAACAAGCGGUUCUUUGCUUUGCUCAGCUCACUGGCAUUGGUUACAAUUAUGAGUUCAAUUGCGUCUGAAUUUGGUUUGAAUGUUGGAGCUUUUGGGAUUAAUUUGGGUUUGUUUCUGUUGACAACUACAGAUGCAGAGAGGGAAACUCUAUGUUGGAUAUUAUGUGGCGAUGAAGGGGUUCUCUGCUUUGCUUAUCAGCAUUGCAACAUUUCUCCCAUGUUGUGAGAGUCAUGGAUAAAUGUUGCUUCAGAGAAUAAAGAUGGUUUUUCCUUUUCACAGAGAUGAAGGAGCCGGUGAUAGUUUUUCUUGGAGAAAUUGAGCUCAUUUGAACAAAUAGGAAUAUCCGAUUGAGCUGGCACCCAUUUGAUCAAAUUGGGGGAUUUGAUUGAGCAAUCAGAGAUCUUUGAAGGAUUGAGCUCCGGUGUGAUUGUGGAAUCCCUGAAGGUGGUUAGCUUGCAAGGAUUUGCCUCAAUUUUGGAGCGUAACCUCUGCAGAAUUGUGAGUCAAAUUUUGACUAUUUACUGAUUAUAGUUGAAUUUUGGUUGAGACUAGAUGCGGUUAGAUGAAUCUCUUCAAUAUGUUUAUCAAUUCAGUGAAGCAUCAUCUUGCUUUUAAUAGUUCUGUUAUUCAAAUACUCAUGUCAUUCAUUAUCAAAAAAUUUUUUAUCAUUAUUUUUAAAUUUUUUUUUCUCUAAAUAGAGAUUUAGAGACAAACCUUCAAGGGCUGAAGCAAGAUCGCAAACCUGUUGUGUUUCAUUUUCUCUAUUUAGACCUUUGGGGUGUAUUAGAACACAGAAGGUCCUAAAAUUCUUGAGUUUAGUUAUGGUCUAUAUUCAGUAUUCAGAUUGGUUUAGAUGGAUUUAGUUGUUUUGUACCACAGAGGUAGUAAGUGUGUGUUUGGGAAUGUCUCUGAAAUGAAAGUGCUUUUGGGUUUAAUGUCAAAUGAAUUUGGAAUAUGUUAUCUGCAUUGUUUUGCUCGCUUUGAACAUUAUCAUGAUAGAGUGGUUUAAUGUCAAAUGAAUUUGGAGCAAGUUGUUCACAGUGACAAAUUCCGCAGCAAAGCGCAGAUAACAUUUC